UACGGGGGGGGCAAGCGUUGUUCGGAAUUACUGGGCGUAAAGGGCGCGUAGGCGGCCUUCUAAGUCGGACGUGAAAUCCCUCGGCUUAACCGAGGAACUGCGUCUGAUACUGGAAGGCUUGAAUCCGGGAGAGGGAUGCGGAAUUCCAGGUGUAGCGGUGAAAUGCGUAGAUAUCUGGAGGAACACCGGUGGCGAAGGCGGCAUCCUGGACCGGCAUUGACGCUGAGGCGCGAAAGCCAGGGGAGCAAACGGG
rnacentral:rRNA from 1 species